rnacentral:rRNA from 1 species
AUUAGCAUAUCGUUAAUAACCCCCUGAGCAGUACCAGCGUGCUUUAAACUCAAAGAAUUUGGCGGCACCCCUACCUGUUAGAGGAGCCUGCCCCGUAAAUGACGCCCCACGCUAGUUUCACCUUUGUUAAAAGCCUGUAUACCGCCGUGCAGGGUGUAUUUAUAAAUACGCCCAAAAUUAUCUUACGUAAACAACUCAGGUCUAGGUGCAGCCCACGCAAAGGAGGAGGUGGGCUACAUUAUUAAAAUUGCGGAUAAAUUUAUGACAGGUUUUGAAGUAGGAUUUAAUAGUAAGCUUACGACUACCGUAGGCCGGCCAGGUGCUGGG